GAUGAACGCUGGCGGCGUGCUUAACACAUGCAAGUCGAACGGUGAAGGCGGAGCUUGCUCUGCUGGAUCAGUGGCGAACGGGUGAGUAACACGUGAGCAAUCUGCCCCUGACUCUGGGAUAAGCGCUGGAAACGGCGUCUAAUACUGGAUACGAGCUGCGAAGGCAUCUUCAGCAGCUGGAAAGAAGUUCGGUCAGGGAUGAGCUCGCGGCCUAUCAGCUUGUUGGUGAGGUAAUGGCUCACGAAGGCGUCGACGGGUAGCCGGCCUGAGAGGGUGACCGGCCACACUGGGACUGAGACACGGCCCAGACUCCUACGGGAGGCAGCAGUGGGGAAUAUUGCACAAUGGGCGAAAGCCUGAUGCAGCAACGCCGCGUGAGGGACGACGGCCUUCGGGUUGUAAACCUCUUUUAGCAGGGAAGAAGCGAAAGUGACGGUACCUGCAGAAAAAGCGCCGGCUAACUACGUG
rnacentral:rRNA from 1 species